GUAGGAAAGGGAAAGCAUCCUCUAGAACUAGAUCCGUGGUGUGGAUAUCAAUUGAAAGGUCAUACUUGGGAUGAAGGCAUAAAUAAGGUAGAGUCAUUGUGGGGAUGGCUUAUAGAGGAAGAGAUGUCUGUGAAUUUAUCCUCAAAUAAUUUUCUCAUAAAUAAAACUUAACAAGUUAAUAGAUCUCAAAACCAGGAGCUAUCCAAAUGGUGCAGUGAUAAGCAUAGUGCCCCAAAUACAUUUUUCUUUUAGUUGGUGUUCACAUAACUAGAUAUAGUAAUAAAUAUAUUAUUAAAUAGUGAAGUCCAUUGUGAAAAGCAAGGGCCACAUUUCAUUUAUUUUUGUUUUUUGAGCUUUUAACACGUUUAAUAGUAGGCAAUCAAUCAUUGUUGAACUAAAUAACUCAUUCUUUCAUUCUUAACAGACUGGAUUAUGGACAGAACUUGGAAAUAUUGAGAAUAAUUUCUUAAAGCCACUUCAUAUAGGACUUAAUAUGUCAAAAGCACAUUAUGAAGCAGAAAUUAAAAAUAGCCAAGAGGCCCAGAAAUCUAAAGAUCUUUGUUCUAUAACUGUAGGUGGAGAAGAGAGCCCUAAUAUGCCUCCUGAAAUGCAGCUUAAGGUCCUACAUUCAGCUCUUUUCACAUUUGAUUUGAUUGAAAGUGUUCUAGCUCGAGUGGAAGAACUCAUUGAAAUAAAAACAAAGUCUACCUCUGAAGAAAAUAUUGGGAUAAAGUGAAAGUUCCACUUCCUAAAUAAAAACUAAUAAAAUAUAGU
rnacentral:sRNA from 1 species